rnacentral:rRNA from 1 species
ACCCUUCUAUAUUUAAAUAAUUUUAGGUAGUACUGAUAUUUCAAGAAAACCUAUGCAGUUUGGCGGCAUUUAAUCAAUUUAGAGGAACCUGUCUUUUAAUCGAUACCCCACGAUAACUCUUACUUUUAUUAAUAUCUUAUAUACCUCCAUCUCAAGGAUUAAUAUUUACAUUUUCCCCUAAACAGAAUUCUAAAAAGUUAGGUAAAGGUGUAGACUAUAUAAAAGAUAAGGUGGGUUACUAUAAAUUUAAUUAGGACAUAUAAUAAAAUUUAU